rnacentral:rRNA from 1 species
AAAUUGAAGAGUUUGAUCAUGGCUCAGAUUGAACGCUGGCGGCAGGCCUAACACAUGCAAGUCGAGCGGCAGCGGGAAAGUAGCUUGCUACUUUUGCCGGCGAGCGGCGGACGGGUGAGUAAUGCCUGGGGAUCUGCCCAGUCGAGGGGGAUAACAGUUGGAAACGACUGCUAAUACCGCAUACGCCCUACGGGGGAAAGGAGGGGACCUUCGGGCCUUUCGCGAUUGGAUGAACCCAGGUGGGAUUAGCUAGUU